rnacentral:misc_RNA from 1 species
AACGCACGAGACCUGCGGACCUGCGGAGGGAUCAUUAUUGAAUCAUGUUAAUGAUCUAAAAGUUGAACAUUCAUCUGUUCAUACUUUUGGAUCAUCUAACUUUUCAUUAUUUUACCAUGUGAAACGGAGACUUUUUAUUUUAAACGAGAUGAUACGUUUUGUGUGAUGGUAUGUCAAUGAGUUUUAAUAAACUUAAAACAACUUUUAACAACGGAUCUCU